CCCAAGAGAUCGGGAUAACCUGCCGAAAGGCAAGCUAAUACCGGAUAAGCCUCCGAAGUCCUUGGACUUUGAAGGAAAAGGUGGCCUCUGUAUACAAGCUAUCACUCUUGGAUGAGCCCGCGGCCCAUCAGCUAGUUGGCGGGGUAAUGGCCCACCAAGGCUACGACGGGUAGCUGGUCUGAGAGGAUGAUCAGCCACACUGGAACUGAGACACGGUCCAG
rnacentral:rRNA from 1 species